CCAAAAGUGAAAAAUGUAGAGGGGAUUUACAGACACUGGCAGAGAUCCAGGACUGCUGUCACACCCAACUGAUGAUUACGUCUCAGCUAUGAACAGACACCUCAACAUAAUCUGACAGAGCCAGGUGACGAAGGUUAAUGGGUACGCUUUCUCCCUCCCAAAAACAUCCUCCAACACACACACACGCACAGACUUCAAAGGUAAGCCAUCACUCUCCUCUUGGCCUGUACAUCUGCCAAACGCAGGUCUCUUAAGAAGAGCUGAAAAAAGCCCAGGCCCCGGCUUGGAGCCUUUUAUGCUGCAGGCACUAAAAGCUCCCAGCCGUCAGUGCCAUUAUAAUGGCCCUUUAAAAAGAGACAGAGAGAGAGAGCGAGAGAGAGAGCGAGAGAAACAAAGACAUCAUAAUGUACGAGGGGCCAAAACACAGGGGGCUCAGCCUACCAGGAAGGAAACAGGAAGCAGGAGGAAUCCAGACAAGGCCCAGGAGGAGUGGCCGAGUGUGCGGCCGCUGCAUCAGGUGUGGCUCCUGCAAGGGCAGCAGCAGCAGCAGGCGGUGCCGAAUGCCGCAGGGUCAACAACCUCCAGCUUGCAGUUCAGCUUUCAGCCAAUAAUAAGGGGCAUCGUGCAUCAUAAAAAGCUGCAUGCAAGCAGGCAAAGCUACGGCCAGUGAGCGUGUCCAUGAAAGUGAACACAUCAAAAGCACGUCUGGAUUUCAGAUCUUCAUUGAACACAGCGAGGAAAUAAACCUGAUCUCAUUCCU